CCAGCAACUUGGAGGAAUGUAUAGUGACCAUGUCAUAUAAAAUUCUAGGUAAAGUAAUGAUGAUGACAUUUUUUACCUAUAUGUCUUGACCAAGUCACGUGCCAGCAGUCGCGGUAAUACGUGGAAGACUAGUGUUAUUCAUCUUUAAUGGGUUUAAAGGGUACUUAGACGGUAAAUUAAGCCCCUUAACUGGGGUACUAAUAUACUAGAGUUUUAUGCGAGGGUGCAGGAGUACUGGUGGAGUAGAGAUGAAAUUCUGUCAUACCAACGGGUAACAGGUAACGGCGAAAGCAACACCUUAUGUAAAAACUGACGUUGAAGGACGAAGGCCGAGAUCCACCAACAGGAUUAGAUACCCCAGCAGUCUUAGCAGACAAUGAUGAAUGCCAUAGGUUAGAAAUUCUUUAGUCUAUAAAUGAAAGUGUAAGCAUUCCACCUCAAGAGUAAUUUGGCAACAUUGAAACUGAAAUCAUUAGACCGUUUCUGAAACCAGUAGUGAAGUAUGUUGUUUAAUUUGACGGCCCGCAAAACACCUUACCACAACUUGAAUAUUUUUAUCCCUAUAAAUUUACAAGUGCUGCACGGCUGUCUUUAGUUAAUGUUCUGAGAUUAUGGUUAGCUCCAUCAAUUAACGUAAACCCUUACUUUAUUUUUUUUAUAAAGUAGUUCGCCAUUAUAUUGGAAUAUGAUAAGAGGGAUUAAGACAAGUU
rnacentral:rRNA from 1 species